rnacentral:lncRNA from 1 species
UACAGACAGGGCCUCAUUAUGUUGCCCAGGCUGGUUUUGAACUCCUGGGCUCAAGUGAUCCUCCCACGUAGGCCUCCCAAAGUGCUGAGAUUAUAGACAUGAGCCACCACACCUGGCAGGUGUUACCGUGAGAAAAUAUCUUGAACUUCUACUCUGUACUUCACCAUACAAGAAUUGAGCCUGGUGUUUUCUUUAAAUUAUUUUAUGAUUACUUAAAGCCAUUCUUUAUAAAUUUUGCACCUCUGCUGGUCAGGUGGCCUAACUUUGGAAGACUCAGACCUUCAUCUGUGACAGUUCUAUAGUCACAGUCGCUAUGCCUUCUCAGGUCCUGGCUGCUGUAUUAUUACAUUGAUUCUCAAAGUUGUACAAGAGAAUAUCAAAAGACACCAAAGUGGAUUAAGAUUAGUUACUGUUAAAAAUAUUCCUCCUGCUUUACGUUCUACAAGAGCUCUACCUUUUUCCGAAGUUCAGAUCAAUUAUCCCUAUCAGGAUAGUGACUUCUCUUCAAGUCACUUGGGAAAAGUCCCCUGAAGUACACUGGAAGAAGCCAUAACUUAAGUUCAUUGAAAUUUUUGCAGUGUCCCAGAGUCGAUGUAUUCUACCUUUGUCGACCAGAACUUCUCCAUCAUACAGUCCAAACUUGUGGGUCUGGAAAGCACAAACUCUGUAAAUGAGAAACUGGUGAUGAUGUUAAGUAAGUUAUUUAUAUUUUAAGUCCCUGAUUUUAGACUCAUGUAUUUUACCUACUCGGAAAAAAUCAUAUUAUGGUUGUUGAUUUAGAAUACACAUCCUAAAAAGUGACAUCCCAUCUUUGUAUGGUCUCAUGUCUGAGCUAGGCAUCCCACUGAAAUCUUUAACUUAACAUGCCAUUGUUCCACUACGCACCACCCAGCAGCUAAUUGGUCUCCACGCAGAAUGGUGCUAUUAGGGGGACUCAGUGAUUGUCUUGUAUGUAUGGACAUCAUGCAGUAACAGGAGAUAAAUUUGUGUUGGAGACAGGGAACCCAUGCUACUGAAUUUAUGCAUAGUCUUCCUUACAUCACCAUGGUUACCAUGUCUACAUGCACCUCAUGCUCACACUUGGGUUGCGUGAUGGUUAAUAUUGAGUGUCAACUUGAUUGGAUUGAAGGAUGCAAAGCAUCGUUCCUAGGUGUGUCUGUGAGGGUAUUGCCAAAGGAGAUUAACAUUUGAGUCCGUGGACUGAGAAAGCCAGAUCCACAAUCAAUCCGGGUGGGGACAAUCUAAUCAGCUGCCAGCAUGGCCAGAAUAAAAGCAGACAGAAACACGUGGAAAGACCAGACUGGCUAAGCCUUCUGGCCUCCAUCUUUCUUCCAUGCUGGAUGCUUUCUGCCCUUGAACAUCAGACUCCAAGUUCUUCAGCUUUUGGAUUCUUGGACUCACACCAGUGAUUUGCCAGGGGCUCUUGGGCCUUCCACCACAGACUGAAGGCUGCACUAUCAGCUUCCCUACUUUUGAGGUUUUGGGACUCGGACUGGCUUCCUGGCUCCUCAGCUUGAAGACAACCAAUGGUGGGACUUCACCUUGUGAUCCUGUGAGUCAUUUCUCCUAAUAAAUUCCCCUUCAUAUAGACACUAUCCUAUUAGUUCUGUCCAUCUAGAGAACCCCGACAAACAUGGGUUGCUAUCAACUGGACAAAUCAUUGCCAACUAAGUUUUUUAGUGCUUCAGCACUUCUACCAUAGUUAGUGUGCACUAAUGAAUGCAAACAUUUGUAUUACCUAAUACAUGGUCUGGUACAGCAUCCUCAGAUGUGAACUAUGCUGCCUCCUGUAUCCAAAAAGGACUACCAAAUGUUGUACUUCCAUCUUAUUGCAGUGCAGUAAGAAAUAUUUUGUCCUUUAUUUUGUAGAUGUCCCAUCAUGCCCUCAACCACAAAACACCUAAAUUUUACGGUUAUAAUCGCUGUCAGUGGUUGUACGUUGAUAUUCUAUUGUUCCAGCACCAUUCUUUUCCUAUUAAAUUACACUGGCAAAUUUGAUUAAAAAAAACAACUGACUAUAUAUGCUUGUAAACAUUUCCAGAUUAUGUUAUUCUUUUAAUCUAAAUAUGUGUCCUUAUGCCAAUACCCCACUCCAUCUAUUACUGCAGUGUAUGAUAAGUCUUGAAAUCUAGUAGUGUAAGUUCUUCAACGUUGCCCUUAAUUUUUAAAAUCACUCUUGCUAUUUAAAAUUGUUUGUAUUACAUGGAAAUUUUAUAAUCAGCUUGCCAAUUUCUACAAAAGUCCUGCUGAGAUUUUAAUUGGUAUUUUGCUUGUUCUGCAGCUUAAUGCAAGAAAAUUAUCUUAACAAUAUUGAAUUUUUCAAUCUAUUAACAUGUUAUAUAUUACUGUUUACUUAGGAUUUUUUCACUUUUCCUGCCUUGUUUUGAACUGAUAUUGUGGUUUUAAGUAAUUUUUUUUAUUUCUACUAUUGGCUUAGUAACUAUGCCCCACUUUUUGAUUUUGUAGCACAGUUGACCAUUGAACAACACAAGUUUGAAUUGUGCAUGUCCAAUUGUCUAUGGAUAUUUUUCAAUAAAAGUUACACUGAGUGCAUCAGCCUCUCUCCUUCUUCUCCUUCUACCUCCUCCAACUGUUCCACCUCUGCCACCCCAAAACAGCAAGAACAACCCCUCCCUUCCUCCUCCUCCUCCUCAGCCUACUCAAGGUGAAGCUGAUAAGGUAAG